AGUUGGUCGGGCAAUCGCUGUGACUUUGUCAUGGAGGAAAGUCCGGACUCUACGGAAACACGGUGCCGGGUAACGCCCGGCGGGGGCGACCCCAGGGAAAGUGCCACAGAAAGCAAACCGCCGCGCGCUAGUGCGGUAAGGGUGAAAGGGUGCGGUAAGAGCGCACCGCAAAAUUGGUAACAGUUUUGGCAAGGUAAACCCCACCGAGAGCAAAACCAAAUAGGGUUGGCGCGGUCUUUGACCGGUCUGUUUCCAGGCUAGCCAACCGGGUAGGUUGCAUGAGACAGUUAGCAAUGAUUGUCCAAGAUGAAUGGUUGCCACGUAUAGCUUUGCUAUGCCUUACAAAAUCCGGCUUACAGACCAACUGG
rnacentral:RNase_P_RNA from 1 species